CCGAAACCAGGUGAUCUACCCUUGGUCAGGUUGAAGUUCAGGUAACACUGAAUGGAGGACCGAACCGACUUACGUUGAAAAGUGAGCGGAUGAACUGAGGGUAGCGGAGAAAUUCCAAUCGAACCUGGAGAUAGCUGGUUCUCUCCGAAAUAGCUUUAGGGCUAGCCUCAAGUGAUGAUUAUUGGAGGUAGAGCACUGUUUGGACGAGGGGCCCCUCUCGGGUUACCGAAUUCAGACAAACUCCGAAUGCCAAUUAAUUUAACUUGGGAGUCAGAACAUGGGUGAUAAGGUCCGUGUUCGAAAGGGAAACAGCCCAGACCACCAGCUAAGGUCCCAAAAUAUAUGUUAAGUGGAAAAGGAUGUGGCGUUGCCCAGACAACUAGGAUGUUGGCUUAGAAGCAGCCAUCAUUUAAAGAGUGCGUAAUAGCUCACUAGUCGAGUGACACUGCGCCGAAAAUGUACCGGGGCUAAACAUAUUACCGAAGCUGUGGAUUGUCCUUUGGACAAUGGUAGGAGAGCGUUCUAAGGGCGUUGAAGCAUGAUCGUAAGGACAUGUGGAGCGCUUAGAAGUGAGAAUGCCGGUGUGAGUAGCGAAAGACGGGUGAGAAUCCCGUCCACCGAUUGACUAAGGUUUCCAGAGGAAGGCUCGUCCGCUCUGGGUUAGUCGGGUCCUAAGCUGAGGCCGACAGGCGUAGGCGAUGGAUAACAGGUUGAUAUUCCUGUACCACCUAUA
rnacentral:rRNA from 1 species